GACGAACGCUGGCGGCGUGCUUAACACAUGCAAGUCGAACGGAGUGGCGAACGGGUGGGUGACACGUGGGUGACCUUCCCUGCACUUCGGGAUGAGCCUGGGAAACUGGGUCUAAUACCGGAGAGCGUGGGAUGGGCCCGCGGCCUAUCAGCUUGUUGGGGGGGUAAUGGACUGGCAAGCCGGCGACGGGUAGCCGGCCUGGGAGGGUGGACGGCCACAUGGGGACUGAGGCACGGCCCAGACGCCUACGGGGGGCAGCAGUGGGGAAUAUUGCACAAUGGGCGGAAGCCUGAUGCAGCGACGCCGCGUGGGGGAUGACGGCCUUCGGAUUGUAAACUCCUUUUGCCAUCGACGCGGUAGAUGGAGAAGAAGCACCGGCUAACUACGUGCCAGCAGCCGCGGUAAUAC
rnacentral:rRNA from 1 species